UGAGGGAUAUUGCGCAAUGGGGGAAACCCUGACGCAGCGACGCCGCGUGGGUGAUGAAGGCCUUCGGGUCGUAAAACCCUUUUGCCACUGACGAGGAAGGACGGUAGGUGGCGAAUAAGCACCGGCUAACUCCGUGCCAGCAGCCGCGGUAAUACGGAGGGUGCGAGCGUUAUCCGGAUUUGCUGGGUUUAAAGGGUGCGUAGGUGGGCUUAUAAGUCAGUGGUGAAAUCUCCGAGCUUAACUGGGAAACUGCCGUUGAUACUAUAGGUCUUGAAUUAUCUGGAGGUAAGCGGAAUAUGUCCUGUAGCGGUGAAAUGCUUAGAUAUUACAUAGAACACCAAUUGCGAAGGCAGCUUACUACAUAUAAAUUGACGCUGAGGCACGAAAGCGUGGGGAUCAAACA
rnacentral:rRNA from 1 species